rnacentral:rRNA from 1 species
GACGAACGCUGGCGGCGUGCUUAACACAUGCAAGUCGAACGGAAAGGCCCUGCUUUUGUGGGGUGCUCGAGUGGCGAACGGGUGAGUAACACGUGAGUAACCUGCCCUUGACUUUGGGAUAACUUCAGGAAACUGGGGCUAAUACCGGAUAGGAGCUCCUGCUGCAUGGUGGGGGUUGGAAAGUUUCGGCGGUUGGGGAUGGACUCGCGGCUUAUCAGCUUGUUGGUGGGGUAGUGGCUUACCAAGGCUUUGACGGGUAGCCGGCCUGAGAGGGUGACCGGCCACAUUGGGACUGAGAUACGGCCCAGACUCCUACGGGAGGCAGCAGUGGGGAAUAUUGCACAAUGGGCGGAAGCCUGAUGCAGCAACGCCGCGUGCGGGAUGACGGCCUUCGGGUUGUAAACCGCUUUCGCCUGUGACGAGGCGUGAGUGGCGGUAAUGGGUAAAGAAGCACCGGCUAACUACGUG